ACUUAAAUAGCUUAUUUAGAGCAUGAUGCUGAAGAUAUCAAGGAAAUUUAUUAUUUUUAAGUA
rnacentral:tRNA from 1 species